rnacentral:rRNA from 1 species
UACGGAGGGUGCGAGCGUUGUUCGGAAUCACUGGGCGUAAAGCGCGUGUAGGCGGUGUGGUAAGUCUGGUGUGAAAGCCCGGGGCGCACCCUGGGAAGUGCAUUGGAAACUGACAGACUGGAGUACGGAAGAGGAGGGUGGAAUCCCUGGUGUAGCGGUGAAAUGCGUAGAUAUCAGGAGGAACAUCAGUGGCGAAGGCGGCCCUCUGGUCCAGUACUGACGCUCAAGUGCGAAAGCGUGGGGAGCAAACAGG